ensembl:lncRNA
CAGCAAUUGCCACUCUGGGCAGUGUGUUCAACAAUCAAAGCUGUUGUCAGCCACGCCCUUGCUGGCCCACUGAAGCUGGCAGUGAGGAAACAGGGGUGGGCCCAGCUUGCUGCGGUGGGAGCGGCAUGGGAGGGCACACAGGCAGGCGGUGCUAGGCUUAGCACUGGAAAGCCUGCAGGUGUGCAGUGCCAUCUCUGUGCCAGCAUGCCACUCACUGCGACUGCCUUUCAAAGAGGUGUUUCUCCACAGGAGGUGUGUUGGAGGCUGAUGAGAGCAUGAGGGAUGCAGUAACGCCAGGGCAGAUGGAAGUCACACUCAUCGCAGCAGCAGCAUAUGAGCCAUGCGAUUUCUGUUGCCCAGCCUUCCAGAGCUCGAAGAUUUGUUCUCCAGCAUCCUGUUAAACAUGUGAGCCUUGAUGGUCUUCCAAAAAUUCCCUGAGAGAGUUGGCUAUCUCUUGGUAAUCGGCUACCAAGUGAUCUUUAACAGCAAUCAUACAGAUAAGCUUCCAGGUUUACAGAGCCCCACAGGAGGAAGGGGUGUGUCCGUCUGUGAUGAGACUCAACGGGUAACAGGCUGAGCUGUCACAAUGCCCAAAGCUGAGGCUGAAGCCAGAGCAGAAGACCCCCAGGCAGCUGAAGAGGACCUACCUGGCACUGGAGCGAGGUGUAACUGACAAUGCCAGGAGCUUGGCCCACGCCAGGAGAGCAGAGCACCAUCCACUCCAAACGGAGUGGCUGGGACAGCUGGGUGACUACAUUCUGGGCCAUCCCAUAGGCUGAGAGAGAGGAGGGGCAGAGCAGAGGACUAGAAGAAGACAAGUAAAACCUCAGGCUAGUCAUUCCAGAGGUGGUGGCUUGAGAGAAAGAGAGAAGAAAAAGAGAGAAAGGGAGAUCAAAAAGUCUGAAGCAGGCAGCUGUUAGUAUUUGUCCAGCAGCUCAUGAGGUCCAGAGCUAGUAUGGCUGUGAUUCUCUUGGCCUCUCCUUCAUGGCUGCAAGAUGGCAGCUCCUAUUCCAGGCAUCAUGCCCAGUCAGGGCAGGAAGAAAGGGGAAGGCCAGAGCCAGCUGCAGCUGUCCCUUCAUAGAAGAAAAGCAAAAGCUUUCCCCAAAACCCUCCACCCCCAGCUGAAUUCUACCCAGAUCUUAUUGGCCAGAUUGGAUCACAUGGUCACCCCUACUUGCAAGGGAGGUUGGGAAAGUGAUCCAUUAGUUUUGCUGGUCUCUAUAGCCCAGGCAGGCGAGGGAGUGUGAGUUGGGAGUGAAAAUAGGGCUGCUAUUUCUGGGAGAGUGGUCUUGAGUCCUGAAUCAACUCCCUAUUCUGCCUUUAUUUUUUAUUUUCAUGUAUCUAACACUCCUUGGUUUUGAAGCUGGGUGGGACAGUUAAAAAGAACUACGAGCUGGAAAUGAGUAAAGCUUUUUUUGCAAGACUGCCCUAAGGAAAUAAGUGUCAGCUGUUUUAACAUCCAUGCCCUGAUGGCUCAGCUUGGCUCUGCUCAGUUAUCAGAUGCCAACUCCAGAUGAGGCCUGCGCUGCCAAGCGUCUUGUCUCCUCCUGUCUGGAAGGGAACAGAUCAGUCUCACCUUCAUCAAGACCGAUACCUCAUUUGAGCUGUGUGAUUCCAUAUGAGGUCAGAAUACCUCGUGGCCACAGCUUCACCAGAGGCCACCCAACCUUCACACUGUUAUGGCAAAGAGCAGUGCUAACAUUUAGCCAGCACUCUGUACUGACGUUAAAACACUGAGCUGAUUCUGUACUGACUGCUACACAGCUGCUACCUGAAGCCCGAGUCCUGUUGCCUUGGAACCUCUGAGGAACCCACUCACGCUGCCCAAAACCACCUUACGAUCCAGCAACUGAAGGCUCAGGCCCUGCCUAGCAGGGGCCCUAAGAUGCUACUCCACACAGCACUAGGGCCAUCGAUUCUUCCAUACAUUUAGUGCUCAUGCAACUCGGAUUUUAAAAUAUUUUAAUAUCUCCCAUGGGGAGCACACGUUACAAUUCUUGUUGGUCAUUUCUCUUGACUGUCUAUGGCUGAAGGGCAGGCGGGAAGUUACUGGUAACUCAAGGAAUGGAGGUAGAUAAUUGCAUCACUGAUAGUUGAGGUUUCCUCAAGGCUAAUUAAUAAGUCACUUGUUAGAAAAUCUGAGCUGCCCUGAUACUGUUAUUUUUCUUUAAUAUUCAUGCUGCAAGUGAAAGGAGCCAGAUACAAAAAAGCACUCUCUGUAUGAUUCCAUUUUUUAUGUCAAGUUGAAGAAGAGGCAACACUAAGUAUGUUAUAAGAAGUCAGGAGUGGUUCUCCCUGGGGCACAGGAAGGUUUCUGGGGCACUGGUCUUGUUCUUUUCUGUGAUCUGGGUAUUGAGCCUGCUGGUCACUAACCUAACAUCCAUCCUCCUCUAUUCUCCUUUCUAUCCGAACACUGAUUUCCUUGUUGGGAUGGGGUGGCAUGUGACAAGCUGGAAACCACAUUUCCCAGCCUCUUUUGGAACUAGGGCUGGUCAUAUGACAUAUUUUUGCCUAAUGAGAUGUAAGUGAAACAUGAUGGGACUUCUAGGAAAUCUCCUUCAGGUGGACAGGCUCUGUAGGCCACACCCUGAACUCCCCCAUUAGUGAACUGAAGGGAGUGCCACCAGCCUUGGUCAUUGCAAAUGUCCAUUCAUAUGCUCUUAUAUAAAAUUCCCCCACAUGUCGCCUGUUCUGUGGUUUGGUUCCCUCAUUCAACAAACACUUACUGAGCACUUCACUACAAGUUAGGCAUGUGCUGAUCAGCUGUGUUACAGAUUCAGACGUUCCAGGGCCGGGCCUGCAAUUGGAGGUGUCGGCCUAGGGUGAAGAACAGGAGAGGGACGAUCUAGACCCUGGCUAACAAGGAGGAAGGGGAGAGCCAUUGCUCAGCUCUAGCAGAUGGUUUGACAGGUGGGAAAUUCAAAUCUGAAGCUGCAAGAUCUUCCCAUUUUUCAAAAGAAGCCAGAAAUCUUGAUUUUUUUUUAAAAUUAACUCUUCCAUGAGGCAGGACUACCAGCUAUGACAGAGUAAAACUGGACAAAGCUGGUGUAUUAGUUUUCUAUUGCUAUGUAACAAAAUGCCAUAAACUUAGCAGCUUAAUCAAAACACAUUUGUUAACUCACAGUUCUGCAAGUCAGAAGUCCAGGCAGACUCAACCGGGUUCUCUGCUUAGUGUCUAACGAAGUUCAGAUCAAAGUGUUAGCCAGACCAGGCUCUUAUUGAGAGGCUAUGAAAAGAACUCACUUCCAAGUUCACUGAGGCCAAACGAAGACAUCACAAUAUACCACCCGAACAUAAACAUAAAAAUCACAUCCAGCAAACACAUAAAAAUGACCAAGUGGGAUUUAUCUUGGAAAUGAAAGGUUGAUUCAGCAUCUGAAAAUUAAUUAAUGCAAUGUAUCAUAUUAAAACAAUAAGACAAAACCUACACAGUCAUGUCAAAACAUGCAGUAAAAGCAUUUGACAAAAUCCAACACUCACCAUGAUAACCCUCUCAACAAACUAUGAAUAUAAGGGACUUUCCUCAAACAGACAAAAAAAGUAUCUAUGAAAAACCUACAGCAAACAUCAUACUUAAUAGUGAAAGACUAAGGGUGUUUUCUGUAAGUUUGAGAACAAAGCAAGGAUGUCCACUCUUACCACUUCUAUUUAAUAUUGUACUGGAAGCUCAAGCCAGUCAAGAAGAAAAGAAAAGAAAAUUAAAGUCAUCCAGACUGGAAAAAAACAAUAAAACUGUCUUUAAUUGCAGAUGAUAUGAUCCUCUAUCUGGAGAAUACUAGUGAAUCUAAAAAAACUAUUAGAACUAAUAAAUGAGAAUGUCACAGGAUGUAAAAAUCAAUGUUUCUACAUACUGAUAAUGAACAAUCUAAAGAUGAAUGAAGAAAAUAAUGCCAUUUACAAUAGCACUAAAAAGAAUUUAAUACUUAGAAAUAAAUGUAACAAAAGAUUUGUAAGACCUAAAAACUAUAAAACAUUGCUGACAGAAAAUUUAAAAGAUCUAAAUUAACAGGGAGCUAUACCAUGUUCAUGACAUGAAAGACUCAUUAUUGUUAAGAUGGCAAUUCUCCCAACAUUGAUCUAUAUGUAUAACACAAUUCCAAUCAAAAUGCAAAAAAAGAUUGGGGGGUUAGAAAUUGACAAGCUGAUCCUGAAGUUUACCUGGAAAUGCAACACACCUAGAAUAGCAAAACAAUUCUGAAAAAGAACAACACAGUGGGAGGACUUAUUCUAUCCACUUUCAAAACUUACUAUAAAAUAAUAGUAAUCAAGACUGUGUCACAAUGGUGUAAGGACAGACACAUAGAUCAAUGGAAAUGAACAGAAAGUCCAGAAAAUCCUUACAUUCAUGGUAAAGUGAUUUUCAACAAAGGUGUGAAGGCAGUUCAAUUGGGAAAAGAUACUCUUUUCAACAAAUGGUUCUGGGACAUUGGCUAUCCAUACGCAAAAAGUAAAUUAAUAAAAAAAAGACCUUUACCUUACAGUAUGCAUAAAAAUUAACUCAAAAUGGAUUAUAGACUUAAAUGUUAAAUUGAAAACUCUAAAACUUGAAAAAAUCACAGGAAAAAAUCUUUGUGACUUUAGCUUAGUCAAAAAUUUCUUAGAAUAUGACACCAAAAAAAAUUCAUAACAGAAAAAUUUGAUAAAUUGUAAUUCAUCAACAUUCCAAACAUUGGCACUUCCAAAGAGAUCAUUAAAAAUAUGAAAAGACAGGGGCUAGCCCGGUGGCAUAGUGGUUAAGUUCAUGCAUUCUGCUUCAGUGUCCUGGGGUUCACUGGUUUGGAUCCUGGGUGCAGACCUACACACCACUCAUCAAGCCAUGCUGGUGACAUCCCACAUAAACUAGAGGAAGACUGCCACAGAUGUUAGCUCAGGGCCAAUCUUCCUCACACACACACAAAUAUGAAAAGACAAAACACAGCAUGAGUGGGGGCCAGCCUGGUGGCAUAGCAGUUAAGUUCACAUGCUCUACUUCAGUGGCCCGGGGUUCGCCACUUUGGGUCCCAGGCACGGACCUACACAUGACUCAUCAAGCGAUGCUGUGGCAGGCAUCCCAUAAAUAAAGUAGAGGAAGAUGGGCACGGAUGUUAGCUCGGGGCCAAUCUUCCUAAGCAAAAAGAGGAGGACUGGUGGUGGAUGUUAGCUCAAGGCCAAAUUUUCCUAAAACAAAACAUAGCAUGGGAAAAAAUAUUUGCAAAUCAUAUAUUAAUUAAGGCUUGUAUCUGAAAUAUAUCAAAAAUUCUUAUAACUUGAUAAGACAAGCAACCCAAUUAAAAAUGGACAGAAGGGGCCAGCUCCAUGGCCGAGUGGUUAAGUUCGUGCGCUCUGCUGCGGAGGCCCAGGGUUCGGAUCCUGGGCGCGGACAUGGCACCGCUCGUCAGGCCAUGUUGAGGCGGCGUCCCACAUCCUGCAACUAGAAGGACAUGCAACUAAGAUAUACAACUGUGUACAGGGGGGGUUUGGGGAGAUAAAGCAGAAAAAAAAAAAGAUUGGCAACAGUUGUUAGCCCAGGUGCCAAUCCUUAAAAAAAAAAUAAAUAAAUAAAAAUAAAUAAAUAAAUAAAAAUGGACGGAAGAUUUGAAUAGACCUUUUGCCAAAGAAGAUAUACGAAUGGCUAAAAAGCAUAGGAAAAGAUGAUCAACAUCAUUGGUCAUUAGGGAAAUGCAAAUUAAAAUCACAAUGAGACACCACUACACAUUUAUUAGAAUAGCGAUAAUCUAAAAGUCUAAUAAUACUAAGUGUUGGCAAGGUUGUAGAGAAACUGGAACCCUCACACACUGCUGGGGGGAAUGUAAAAUGGUACAGUCACUUCAGAAAACAAUUUAUCAGUUCCUUAAAAUGUGAAACAUAGAGCAGUAACCUGAAACAAUUCCACCCAGCCAUAUACCUAAGAAAAAUGAAAACAUGUCCCCAUUAAGAGUUUACGUAAAUAUUCACAGCAGCAUUAUCCAUAGUAGCAAAAAUGAGGAAAUAAAUGAGAUGUUUAUCACCUGGUAAAUGGAUACGGAAAAUCUAGUGUGUCUACAUAAUGGAAUACUAUUCAGCAAUAAAAAGGAAGUAACAAAUGACACAUCUACAACGUGGACAAACAUUAUGUUUAGUGAAAGAAGCCAGACACAAAAACUACACAUUAUAUGAUUCCAUCUCUAUGACAUUUCUAGAAAGGGUAGCUCUAUAGAGAUGGGAAACAAAUCAUUGGUUGCCGAGAGAUGGAAACUGGAGUGUAAUUGACUGUAAAUGCAUGUGAGGAAGGUUUUUGGCGGUGAUGGAAAUAUUGGGGUGGAUUGGGAUGAUGGUUGCACAACUUUAUAAAUUUACUAAAGAUCACUGAAUCACCAUGUAUUAUGGGUGGACUUUAUGGUAUGCAAAUUAUACCUCAAAACUGUCAAACAAAAAAAUUAAAUCUCCCAAUUUUAAAAUGUUCUCAACUAAUUCAGCUUCUUGAAGAACCUAUGUGAAAAAACUUACCCCAAGUUUGCAGCGCAAGCCCUUGGGAUGCCUACUUGCAACCUCAGUGCUAAGUGGCAUGAAUAGAAAUUUGAAUAAAAUCAAAUCCUUGUCCUCCAGGAGUUUAAGAUCCAAAGGGAGAAAAUGGAACAGUAAACAGUUACAAAACCCUAUGAUAAAUAUUAUAAGUGGGAUAUACAGGGAUUUAUGGGGCCAGAGAACUCCUGGCUCUGAAGGGGAGUACGGGCAGGGGCACCACAGAGGAAGUUGGAUAAUGGAGUUGGGUUUUGAAGGGUAAGUAGAAAUUCGGGAGAUUGCAAGUGUAGGAAGUGGAGAAAAGCAGGAGGGGUGGGUGACCUUUCCAGGCAGAGGGAACAGAAUGGGCAAAGGCGUGGAGGUGUGAAAAAGCAAUUCCCUUUCUGAGAACUGGGAAGGCUGGAGACAUAGUGCACAAGGAGAAGACAAAGAACAGGAAAGGAAGGCAGGGGCCAGAUCAUGAGGGGCUGUGCAGGCCAUGUUAAAGUCUUUGGACAAACGAUUAAGCAGAAUUUAUUUGUUGUAGGAACAUGGGCAUCCUUCUUUUGGCCUAAAUUAAACUUUGUAUAUCUUGGCAACAUCAUACUGCACUCAUUUAAAAAAUAUUCAUAUACUGCUUACUGUGUGCCAGGCACUAUUUUAAUACUUUAUACAAACUCUUUUAAUCCCAUCAACAGUGGUUCUCAAACUUUAUCCUGUAUCAGUCACCUGAAAGUCUUCUUAAAACAGAGAAGCCACAGUUUCUGCUUUAGUAGGUCUGGAGUGGAGCCUGAGAAUUUGCAUUUCGAUUCCAUUCCCAGGAGAAGCUGAUGCUGCUGUCCAGGGAGCACACCCUGAGAACCACUGCUUUACACCAGCCUUAUAAGAAAGUUGUCAUUAUCAUCACCAUUAUCCCCAUUUUACAAAGGAGGAAACAAACAGAUAGAAUGUUAAGCAACCUGCCCAAAGCCUAUAGCUCUUGGCAAUGGAGCUGGGAUUCAAUGCCAGGCAAGGUCUGCCAUGCCUCCUAGGUUGCAAACAAGCAGAGUUAAGGGCUGGCAUUUUCAAUCCUUGUUGGCAACAAUCAAAAGUUUAUUACACACACACACACACACACACACACACACACACACACACACUGGCCUUAACUGACACCUGAGAUAAGAGAGUUAGAGAUGCUAACUGAUGCCAAGGGGGUGGUGAGGGAAAGUCUUUGAGGAGCUCUUUAGGCCAUUCCAAUGAAGUAUUAUUUUGGUCCUAAUGGGAUGAAGCCAG